ACGAGUUUGAUCCUGGCUCAGAACGAACGCUGGCGGCAGGCCUAACACAUGCAAGUCGAACGAUAUAGUGGCAGACGGGUGAGUAACGCGUGGGAACGUACCUUUCACUACGGAAUAGCUCUGGGAAACUGGUGGUAAUACCGUAUACGCCCUUCGGGGGAAAGAUUUAUCGGUGAAAGAUCGGCCCGCGUUAGAUUAGGUAGUUGGUGGGGUAAUGGCCUACCAAGCCUACGAUCUAUAGCUGGUCUGAGAGGAUGAUCAGCCACACUGGGACUGAGACACGGCCCAGACUCCUACGGGAGGCAGCAGUGGGGAAUCUUGCACAAUGGGCGAAAGCCUGAUGCAGCCAUGCCGCGUGAAUGAUGAAGGCCUUAGGGUUGUAAAAUUCUUUCGCUAGGGAUGAUAAUGACAGUACCUAGUAAAGAAGCCCCGGCUAACUUCGUG
rnacentral:rRNA from 1 species